AUUCCUCUACGUCUCGUGGGCUCGGAGAUGUGUAUAAGAGACAGGGGUACCAACAGCAACCAAACUCCGAAUACCGGUGACGCGUAUCCCGGCAGUGAGUCGGCGGGGGAUAAGCUUCGUCGUCGAAAGGGAAACAGCCCAGACCGUCGUCUAAGGUCCCGAAGCGUGUGCUAAGUGGGAAAGGAUGUGGAGUCGCAUAGACAGCCAGGAGGUUGGCUCAGAAGCAGCCACCCUUGAAAGAGUGCGUAACAGCUCACUGGUCUAGUGGUUCCGCGCCGACAAUGUAGCGGGGCUCAAGCACACCACCGAAGACGCGGCAGUAUUUUGUACUGGGUAGGAGAGCGUCCCAUGAGGGGCGAAGCGGCCGUGUGAACGCGCCGUGGACUUCAUGGGAGUGAGAAUGCAGACAUGAGUAGCGAGAGACGGGUGAAGAUCCCGUCCGCUGGAUGACCAAGGGUUCCAGGGCCACGUUCAUCGUCCCUGGGUGAGUCGGGUCCUAAGGCGAGGCCGACAGGCGUAGUCGAAUGGAUGAACGGGUCGAUAUUCCCGUACCGGCUUUCAGCCGCCAAAACCGAGGCUUGGAGUACUAACCUCCGGGUCCGGGCUUACUGCUCCUUCGGGGGCGGGAUGCCCUGGCCUGUUGGGACCGAUCCUUGUAGUAGGUCAGCGCAGGAGUGACGCAGAAGGGUAGCCGGCCGCGGAGGUGGUCUUCCGUGGUCAAGCACGCAGGGCGUGGGACAGGCAAAUCCGUCCCGCAUGGGUCCGAGGUGCGAUGAUGGGGGCCUUAUGGCCCGAUAUCCGGUGAUCCCGGCUGCCGAGAAAAGCUUCGGCGUCAGGCUCGAAGCCGCCCGUACCCCAAACCGACACUGGUGGUCAGGUAGAGAAUACCAAAGCGAUCGAGCGAAUCCUGGUCAAGGAACUCGGCAAAUCACUCCCGUUCCUUCGGUUUAAGGGAGACCCCCGAUGGUGAACCGCCUCGCGCGGGGAGCUUUUGGGGGUGGCACAGACCAGGGGGUAGCGACUGUUUACCAAAAACACAGGUGCAUGCGAAGGCGCAAGCCGCUGUAUAUGCACUGACGCCUGCCCGGUGCCGGAAGGUUAAGAGGAUCCGUCAGCCUUCGGGUGAAGCGGUGAAUUCAAGCCCCGGUAAACGGCGGUGGUAACUAUAACCAUCCUAAGGUAGCGAAAUUCCUUGUCGGGUAAGUUCCGACCUGCACGAAUGGCGUAACGACUUCCCCACUGUCUCGACCAGGAGCUCGGCGAAAUUGCAGUACGAGUAAAGAUGCUCGUUAAGCGCAGAAGGACGAAAAGACCCCGGGACCUUUACUAUACCUUGGUAUUGGCAUUCGGUGUGGAUUGUGUAGCAUAGGCGGGAGGCCGAGAGGCGCGGUCGCCAGAUCGCGCGGAGCCGUAAGGUGAAAUACCGCUCUGUUCGCAUUGGAUGUCUAACCUCGAACAGUCAUCCUGUUCAGGGACAGUGCCUGGCGGGUAGUUUAACUGGGGCGGUUGCCUCCCAAAGAGUAACGGAGGCGCCCAAAGGUCCGCUCAGCCCGGUUGGCAAUCGGGUGGCGAGUGCAAGUGCACAAGCGGGCUUGACUGCGAGGACGACGGUCCGAGCAGGGACGAAAGUCGGGACUAGUGAUCCGGUGCCGGUGUACGGACGCGGCAUCGCUCAACGGAUAAAAGGUACCCCGGGGAUAACAGGCUGAUCAUUCCCAAGAGUCCAUAUCGACGGGAUGGUUUGGCACCUCGAUGUCGGCUCGUCGCAUCCUGGGGCUGUAUUCGGUCCCAAGGGUUUGGCUGUUCGCCAAUUAAAGC
rnacentral:rRNA from 1 species